rnacentral:lncRNA from 1 species
AUAUAUAUUGGAAUUAGACUGGAAUACUAUUAAUAGUAAAAUCCUCUUUUGGCUAUCAAAUUUUUAAUCCUUGGAUGAAAAAUUGUAGGGUUAGAAUGAUAUUAGUCAGUUAGAGUUGAGUGGUCCCUCUAGGGUUGAGUGGUCCCAACUGGGUUAUAGUAUUUAAUCCAAUGGUUAGAAAUGAUGAAAAGAGUUGAUCCAAAGGCUAAAAAAACUGGUAGCAACAAUGAGAUUUUGCUACUAAUAGUAGCCCAGUCCAACUCUAUAUAUUGAGCUCCUAUGCUUUUAAAAGUAUCAAAUUAUUGGUGCUUGUAAAUUUUUAGGCCUUGGAUUAAUAGAUGUGCAGUUAGGAUGAUGUGGGCCUCCUUGGAUUAAGUGGGUGCUUGGUUGAAUAGUAUAAUAUAACAGAUGAAAAUGAUCAAAGCCGUAGAUUUAACAGUAAAAAAUUCACAAGCACAAAGUGCUUGGUGCUUUUACAAACACCAUAGCCGAACUCAUAUAGAAUUAUAUAUAUAUAUAUAUAUAUAUAAUGUGGGAGCGUGCGACUUUAUUGAGGAACUUCUUAACGAAACCUCCUUAAAACAAUUUGAUAAGCCGUGUGUGAUUUAUUGUGCGUUCAAAUCUAAAAAUUCCAUUCUAAUCUAAUAAUUUUUAUCUGAACUUUAGUACUGUAUUAUAUUAUAUAAUGUAUUUGGAGUAAUCAAAAGAUAAAUAAUGAGGUGUUCCUCAUACAAAGUUUUUUUUAAAAUUUUUUUUUUUGCUUGGUGAUCAUAACCACACUCCCAUAUUAUAUUAUUAUAUAUUUAGCAAUGGUAUCUUCAGAAGCACGUAGCAGUUAAGCAAAGCAUAUGUAGAUGAUCAUUUUAUCCAUGCUUUAAAGUUAAGAAUUUCUUUAAAUUUCGUGCACCGUCCUAUAUCCACUCCAAAAGAAAAAAGGUAAUAUUAAGCCGACUUAUAUAUAUAUAUUCUGGAUAUUUUUCUAGAAAAUAUUUUAGGCCUUUUUGGCACCAAAAAAAAAAAAAAAAACUGGUUUUCGGAUUUGUUGCAAGGUUUGGUUAUUUUUUUAGUUUAUAUAUUCGGGAUCAAAUUCGGUUUUUUCGCAAGAAAUGGGGAGCAUUUGAUCAGAUCUUAAAAGAGCCUUCAAAAUUUAAUAUAACGGUGGACAAAAACUGUUAAAAGUAUUUUAGAAAUUAGUAUAUAUUUUUAUGUAAAUUAAGGUAAUAUUUUUUAUGUCAAUUAUACGUUAAAAAAAAAAGGAGGGGAGAAUUUCUAAUUGCAUGCAAUGCAUGUAGAUUGAGUUGAUAUGGUAUGCUGAGGUUGUAAAAAUGUUUAAACAUCAAAGUUAUCUUAAUUUUUUGUGAAAACUGAAGUUUAACACCACUGCUCACAUGUUAAGUAGAUAUGUACCAAGCUAAAAAUGAUACAUAAUAUUUGCGUAGGAUACUGAGAAUGGAUAGACGGAAAAGAUGACAAUUGAUCAUUUUAUUUCAGUUAAUAUAGUAUAUAUAUAUAUAUAUAUAGUAUAUUAUAUAUAUAGAAUUAGGCGUGGAAAUACUAUUAUAGUAAAAUGCAUCUUUUACUAUCAACGUUUUUAACCCUCUGGAUGAACGAAAAUUGUAGGGUUCAUGGGAAUUGAUAUUAGUCGGUUUUUAGAGUGAGUGGUCCCCUAGCGGUAUGAGUCUCCACUGGAAACUGGGUUAUAGUUAUUUUAAUCCACAUGGUUAUAGGAAAAUAAUGACAAGGUUGAUCCAAGGCUAAAAAACUGGGUAGAACAUAUGAAAUUUUGCUACUAAUAGGUAGUCAGUUCCACUCAUAUUAUAUAAAUAUAUAUAUAUACUAUACUCUUUAUGAGGUAUAAUUAAAUUCUUUUAUAUUUAUACGUUUUUGGCCUAUUAGAUCUAUUCCUAUUGAUUAUUACUUCACCUGUUAGAUCAUUACUAGUCAACAACCAUCACUCAUAUUCUAAAAGACCACUACUAUUCUAACCGAAAAUCACUAUUAUCCGUAACCGCCCAUUGCCUAUCCAAUGGCGCGAUAAUUUAUGUAGUAUAGUAUAGGGUCAGGGUCUAUACUCAUAAUAGUAUAGUAGUCCUAUUCUCUCUAUCCAGCGUAUAUAUUAUAUAUAUAUAUAUAAUUAUAUCAUAUAGAAUUAGGCUGGAAAUACUUAUUAAUAGUAAAAAUGCGUAUCUUUUACUAUCAACGUUUUUAACCCUUGGAUGAAAAAAUUGUAAGGGUUCAGGAAUUGAUAUUUAGGUCGGUUUUAGAGUGAGUGGUCCCCUAGGGUAGUCGUCCCCACGAGGUGGGUUAUAGUUAUUUUAAUCCAACUGGUUUAGAAAAAUAAUGACAAGAGGUUGCAUCAAAGGCUAAAAACUGGGUAGAACAUAUGAAUUUUGCUACUAAUAGUAGCAGUUCCACACUAUAUUAUAUAAUAUAUUAUAUAUACUAUACUCUUAUGAGUAUAAUUAAAUUCUUUUAUAUUUAUACGUUUUUGGCUAUUAGAUCUAUUCCUUUGAUUAUUAUCACCUGUUAGAUCAUACUAGUCAACCAACCAUCCACUCAUAUUCUAAAAGACCACUACUAUUCUAACCGAAAAUCACUAUUAUCCUAACCGCCAUUCCUAUCCAAUGGCCCGAUAAUUUAUGGUAUAGUAUAAGGGUCUAUACUCAUAAUAGUAUAGUAGUCCUAUUCUCUCUCUCCCCAUAUAUAUAUAUAUAUAUAUAGUGAGGCUACUAUGCUAUUGGAAGCACGGAGCCUUCCGUGCUUUCAGCUCGUUUUCGAUGUUGCGACUUUCGAAUCGUCGAUCGGCGCCGUUAAACUUGAUCUAGAGUAUUUGAAGUACCUAGAAAAUAAAUUUUAUGAUUUUACGAUAUCAUUUGCCUAGUGAACGAAGAGGCUCAAAAUCAACGACUGAAAAUAAAAAUCUUACAAAAUAUAAUAAUAUGACAUUAAAAUUUUAAAUCAAAGAUAUUGAUCUUAUUUUAUAUAGUAUAAAAAAUUUUAGCAUAUAUAUACUCAUGUAGUACUUUAGCAUAUAUAUAUACUCAUGUGGUACUUUCAAUAUUUUAAAUCUUAAUUAUAUCGGCACAUUGAUCAUUCUCUAGCCCUCGGGCUAAUGCUGGAGAACCACUAAACCCAAGGGAGGCUCACUAUCACCCCAAGUACUCUACAAUUAUUUUCGUACUUUUAAGUCAUUUUCGAUUAUAGAAUUUUUGAAGCGACGAUUCAUACACUUAAAUAUGAUUUAGAGAUCGAAUUUGAAACUCCUAGAAACGAAAUUCAUAAUUUUUCAACAUAAUUACGUUACGAUCAAAAGAUCUAAAGAUUCACAAUUUUUAACGACUAGUGUGGAAUGCUGCUAGUUUAACAAUUUAAAAAAAUUCGAAAUCAUUUGAAUUUUUGAUAGAAAAUUUCAUUCACUAUCUAGAAAAAGAUCAAUAGCUCUAACCUUAAAUUGAAAAAUUCGAUCUCCUAUUUUUAAACGGUCAUUCGGUUUUGACCGUUCAUUUUAUACUUGCUUAAUAAACUUAGUUAUAAUUUCAAAAAAUUAUAAAAUUUAUUUUUAAAAGUUCUAACUGCUUUAAAUCAUAUUUAACGUUAUGAAUAGGCAAUUUGAAAACGACUUAUGAAUACGAAGAUCUCUAUACUUAUAAGAAUAUAAAAGCCCUAAAUUUUUUUUUUUUUCCUAUCUGCUUUGUUUAUUUUUUAAUUUAAAAAUAAACUUAGCUGGACUUGUGAAGCAACUAAAUUUCGAACUUAGAAUCUCGAAUACCAAUCAUUAAUUUCUUUAUCACUUGUGCUAGGAACGACCGGUGGCCUGUGGCAGUGUUUGGAUUGGGGAUAAGGGGUUAUAUUUUGUAUUCGAGAAUAGUAAUUUUUCGGUAUCUGAAAUAAUCUGGUAUAACUAUCUCUACCAACACCUCCAUUUUCUACAUAUAACUACAUAUUAUUUUUUUUAUUCCAUAUUAUCUAUCCAAACGCUAUUUUUUUUGUCCCCGGGAACAAUCUAAUUUUUAUCCAAACGCUAUUUUUCUUAUCCCCAUACUUAUACCUAUCCCUGUAAUACCCGAACCAAACGCUACCGCGUAGGUUUUUAAUAGUGGUUCUACAGGCUUAUUCAAACAAAAAAUAAUAAAAAAUAAAAUAAAAUCUGCCUCCCGUGAAAAGUGGCGCGACGCAUUGUACAUUUUUAAAUGGCAAAACCAUAUAUUCCCCUUCUUAUUCUCCCUAGAAUAACUCACCCCCCCCUAUCCACCUCACUUAUCCCCUCUCUCUCUCUCUCUCUCUCUCUCUCUCUCUCUCUCUCUCUCUCUGAAUAAUAAAUAAAUGAAUAAAUAAUUCUAAUUCCUCUAUUCCUCCUCACUCCCUCCAAAUCCAAAUCCAAAUCCCUAUUUAUACCCCCACCUCCACUCCUCACUCCAAAUCACUCUUCCUCCCCCCACAAUUCCCCUGCAAUGUCUUCCAAACCCUUCUCCCUCCUCCUCCUCCUCCUCCUGCUUCUCUCCACCGCAAUUCUCCUCCGCUGCGCGGCGGGGGCAGGCGCAGCUGCGGCGGCGCAGCGCGGGGCGUUCGCAUGCGCGGCAGGGGGGCCGGGGGCGGGGAUGCGGUUCUGCGACGCGUGGGCGCCGGUGCGGGAGCGCGCGCGGGACCUGGUGGCGCGGCUGACGCGGGCGGAGAAGGUGCGGCUGCUCGGCGACGGCGCGGCGGCCGUGCCGCGGCUGGGGAUCGCAAAGUACGAGUGGUGGUCGGAGGCGCUCCACGGCGUCGCCAACACGGGUCCCGGGGUCCGCUUCGGCGGCGCCUUCCCCGGCGCCACCAGCUUCCCCCAGGUCAUCACCUCCGCCGCCUCCUUCAACGCCUCCCUCUGGCAGCUCAUCGGCACGGUACGUAUCUAUCAUUCUAUCGUAAUUGUUGUGCCUUCUAUUCACAUUUCACAAACGUUCGCGAUGUUUCCAUCUCUUUAUAAUAUUCUCACUCUCAAAAAUUAUGAAAAAUUAUGUUUCUUUUUUAAUAUAGGAUUUAUAUAAAAAAAAGUAUAUUAAAUUACGAAAAAAAAUAUAGAGAACUAAUUGCAAUAACGUAGAUUGUGUAAGGACUAUUCAUACAUUUUACAUUAAUGUGAAAAUAAGAGGAAUACGAAUAUCAUAACCAUAAUCCAUGCAUAGUAACCUUUUAAUAACUUAUUAUUAUUUUUUUCUUUUUAAUCAUAGUAAAGUGCUCAUCAGAGUGUAUUAUGAAGUUAGGUAUCUUCAUUUUUUAGCUCGUAUUACAUUAAUGUGAAAAUAAGAGGAAUACGAAUAUAAUCAACAUAAUCCAUGCAUAGUAACCUUUUAAUAACUUAUUAUUAUUUUUUUCUUUUUAAUCAUAGUAAAGUGCUCAUCAGAGUGUAUUAUGAAGUUAGGUAUCUUCAUUUUUUAGCUCGUAUUAUGUUGAUUAUUAUAGUAAUAUACUCGAUAAUUAAAAAGCGCUUUUUUUAAUUGCCUCCGAAAACUAAGGGCCUACGUGCAAAAGCAUACACACACCUGCAACUCAUAGGUAAAUAUGAAUGCCAAUAUCAACUUUAUAUGGGUUUCUAUGCAAUUUUGCACUUUUUUGUCCAUGAAUUAAAUCAACAUCUAGCCAUUUUGAGAGUUCAUGCCAACAAAAGAUAUGGUUACAAAAUAAACUUUUAAAAUAAUAUUAUAUAUUGUGGAAGCGUGAUUUUUUUUUAUACCAAUUGUUGGAACCGGUAUUUGUCCAUAAAACAAAAUAAUAUGAAAAAGAGAUAUCGAGCAGAAAGAAGAUAACGAAACUAAUACUUUAUUAAUAAAAAGCAAUUAAUUACAUUCUGAACAACACCCAUGCAGUUAUAUCUACUAUGGUUUAUUUCUCUAAUUAAUUCAUACCUAACUAUAUAUAACAGAUGAUAAAUUUAAUUUUACUUUGGAUAAUUACAAAUUCUAAUCAUAAUCAAAUAAAAGAUUUAAAUUUACCUGUAACUGUAUUUUAAUUAAGUUUGAAUUAUUAUUUCCAACAUCCUCUUUUAAUCCAAAUUUCAUUUUCGAUCAAACCGCAAAUUCCGUGAAACAUGCACUUUGAUUUUGCAAUCUUUAUUGUUGUUGUUGUCGUUGUGUUCAAGUUGUGCACAUGACGCCUGUCAAAUAAUUUCGCCAUGGUUGAAAUAUUGGCCACCAGUAAUUUUUAUCAUAUCCAUCAAUCUUUACAAAUUGCUGAUGCCAAAAAAUAUCUUAAAAAACAUAUAAUUUUGAAAAAAUUGGAUCGAUAUUAAUUUUCUAAUUUUGUGGUAGGCGAGGAAAGUCUGAUAGACAUGAAUGUCUGUUCGGUACAUUGAUCUCGAUUUAUAAAUUUUCAUGUGCUUUCUAUUUUCGUAAAUCUAAUUUGUGAUCUGCAACUUGGAUCAUAUUAAAAUAAUGGUAAACUUCCUUCCUACUUUGUUGCAUAAUUUCUUCAUCAACAGAAAUUUCUUCAACCAUAUUAUAAUUAUGAACUUUCUCAUUAGCCUGAAUCUCAUCAUUUUGAUCAACUGCAUACUCUUUACAAAUCUUAUCUUUUUCAUGAUCUUGAUCAGAUUUUUUUUUUCCAAUUUUUUUUACAAAUGGGGUUCUCUAUAUUUUCACCAUGGGUUGAAUUUUUUUUUCUUUUUUUUGAAUUUCAUUCUCUUUCUUCAAAUAUUCUCCUCCAAUUUUCGAUAGUAUUCUCCACGCUUCUGAUGUCGUCUUUAUCGUUGAAUUUUUUCCAACCAACGAUAAAUCCACUGGUUGAAAAAUAUCUGAUAGAAGUUCUCUAUCUCUUUUUCUAGAUUUUUUUUUAUCAAAUUUUUUUCAUAAGUUUUAUUUUCCACUAAAUCCCACAAAUCUAGGAUUCUAAAAAAUAUCGAAUGAUAAUUUUUCAUCGUUUAAAGUUCGUUCCAUCGAACUUUGGUAAAUUAGGUUGAAUAAACCAAUCUAAAUCUAUAACAAAAUUUGAAAAUCUGAAAAAUAAAUUUCAAAUUUAUAUCUUUCGGUUUGGAUGACGUUCUUAGUUCAUCGAGAUCUCACCGAAUUAUUUUGUACUUCGGCUUACUUGGCUAUCUAGUCAAGUCUUCUUGAAUCUCUUCAUGGGUUCUCUUCGCUCUCUUUUCGUCAAGAGUCACAACCACUCGGUGUGUUGUGCGGAGGCCAAUUUCUUCAAAAUGAUUUCUUCGCUUUGGUUUCACCUGAACGUCACUUUCGUCAAUCAGCUACGAAUUGGUUGAAUUUAAGGCAGCUCGAUCUCCAGUAUAUUGGAUCUAUACUCUUUUCAAAUAUGUUGACAUUCAAUUUAUAAGUCACAUGAUACUUUUUUGCUCUGAUACCACCUGUUGGAAAUUGUUGAAACUGCUAUUUGUGCUGAUACCAAUUAUAUAAUCCAAGAUAUAAAAUAUAACAAAAUAAUAUAGAGAAGAGAUAUUUGGAGGAGUAAGAAGAUAACUAAACUAAUACUUUAUUAAUAAAAAGUAAUUAAUUACAUUCUGUACAACAUCCAUGCAGUUAUAUUUAUUAUGACUUUUUUUUUAAUUAAUUCAUGCCUAAUUAUAUAUAGCCAUCAAAUCAUAACAGAUGAUAAAUUUUAUUUUAUUUUAGAAUAGUGUGACGUGAGGCUGUAAACGAGUUAAACACGAGCGAGUUGAGAAACUGGCUUGUGUUCGUUCAUUUGUUAGAUGAGUCGAAAAUAAGCUGACUCAUUAAAAUAUCGAACUGAAAAAUUUAACUUGUGUUCGGCUUGUUUAAUAACGAACCAAACACGAACUGACUCAUGAAUUAUAAGUUAGUACGUCGGUCCAACUGGAAGGCGAAAAGUCGGAAAAAAAAAUUAGAAUUUUAAUCUAAUGAAAUAGAACACGAGCGAAUUGAUCCGAGCUCGUAUUCGACUCGUCUAUUAAAUGAGCGAUUGAUUUUGAGCUCAUUUCGAGCCGAAUGCAAACCCUGGCAUUGCGGUAGAGAUGGAAAUAACGGUAAUGAGAGAGAGAGGAUUUAGUGUUCUAUGGAUGACGUGGUGGACCCGGUGCACUAAAAUUUUUCAAAAAUAGUACAGUGUGUAGUACAUUUAUCUACCACUGUACGUUGACAACGCAUAAUGUAUCUAUGCGUGUGUUGUGCGACAUCUAGCACUCAAUGACAAUGAGGUGGGUUAACACUUCAACACCUACUUCACAUGAUUGCUCAUAAAUAUAUAUAUAUUUAAAAAUCAGGUGAAUUUAAUUUUGGUCCCCAAACAAUUUUAAUCUUUAAUUUUGUUAUUAUUUAGGUUUAAACUUUAAUAAGGCACUGUUUGGAUACUUGAAAAUAUUAUUGUAAUGUAAUUAUAUGUUACGAUAUAUGCUUAAUUAUAACAAUAAGCAAAUUUAGAGCAUAGGCUUGCUCUUUUUCUACUGUUAUAAUAAUUCACGGUACUUUUAAAAUAUUUUUACUCUUUUUUGGUACUCUAAAAAAAAAAUCUAAAUACACUUUUGUAAANAUAUAUAUAUAUAUAUAUAUAGUCCGGCUGGAAUACUAUCGAUAGCACAAAAUUUUUGGUGCUAUUAAGUUUUCUGCGGUUAGAUUUAUCUUUUUUAUCAUUUUCAUCCGUUCGAUUAUGUUAUUCAACCAACCACCUACUCAACCCUAGAAGACCUACAUCAUCCUAAUUAUACAUCUUUUAAUCCAUGUCGGAAAACUUAAUAGCACAAAAUCAUUGGCGCUAUUAAUAGUAUUCCAGCCUAAUUAUAUAUAUAUAUAGAGUGAAGUUGGAAUGCUUCUGAAAGUAUGAAGUUUUUCACAUUUUCAAGUCGUUUUGGAUGUUGAGAUUUUUGAAUCGACGAUCAGCUUCUUGAGACUUGAUAGAUUUAGUGAUCGAAAGAACUCAAAAUCAAUAAUUUGAACAUAACUUAUUUUUCUUCCAACAUUUGUAUGGACAUAAUUUAUAAUGAGUAAUAAAUAGUAUGGGCUAAAUAUUCUCAUCAACGGAUUUUUGCCUCGUACAGCUACAGUACAAUUUUUUCUCUUUCGCUGUAGCUAUAGUACAAUUCCUAAGACGAAACUUGUAGGACACUUAACACCGUUGUAUUGUCAUAAAUGGCGAGCUAAUUCACGGGCAUAGAAUUUAAUUUAAUUUUAGAAAAAAAAGUACUAUAUACGUACUCAAGAUAAGUAUAAAUUUUGUACACAUUUUGAUAAGGCUAAAUUACAGAAAAUUUUUUUGUCAAAAUUCAAUUUUUUACUUUUGCUCCGUGUCAUUUAAAAACCUACACUUUGCCCUCCUAAAAAAUAAAAAAUAUUCACUUUAGAUCCCGCCGUCAGUGUUCCGUUAGGGUUCUGUCUAUAUCCCAUUAUUAUAUAUUUUUUUUAUUUCCAAAAUAUCCUUUUACAGAUAAAGGAGGAUUGGGGAAGAAGAGGAAGAGGGAGAGGCAUUUUGGCCAUUUUAUCAAUAUUAUUAAUACCGUACCCCUCCGGGAACAUUUUUUAUUUUUUAGGGGAGCAAAGUGUAGGUUUUAAAUGACAGGGCGGAUAAGUGAAAAAUCGAAUUUUGAUAGAAAAAUUUUCUGUAAUUUCAUGAGGUAUUUAUCAUGUUGUUGUCAAUGUUUUAAAACCCGCUUCCAUUCAUCCCUUUAAAUCGAAUAAAUUAAAAUUCGUUUUGAACCGUUUAAAUCAGGCCAGCAAUUUUUAAUUUUGUUUAUGAUUGAUUUUUGCUAAUUUAAUUUUUUUUAUUAUAAAAAAAUUAAAAACUUAUAUUUUUCUUAAUUUUAUAUAAAAAUUAUUAUUUAUAAUUUUAAAAUAAUUAAAUAUUUACGAUGUCGUGCUAAUGUACCUGGUUUAACCCGCACCGAUUAAACCAAUAACUCUGGACCCAAAAAUUUAAUUUUUUUUUCUACUUUAGUUUUGUAAUGCAUACUUUGGGGUACACUUUGUGAUAUGCCUGUCGAAGGAUUAAUUGCACCGUUGGUCUCCAACAUUUAUCUAUUUUAAUUUUAGUUUUUAAUCUCUUAUUUUUUUUUACAAUCAGGUCCUCAAGUUUAGAACUAAUUGCAAUAUGAGGUCUCUGACCUUCUCUGAUUGGCGGAUUCGGCGCUAUGCAUACUACGAGCGUACCCAACAAUUCAAGUCGUAUUUUUCCCGCUCCAAUAUAAUAAUAGAAUGAUUACUUACGGGGACAAUUUGGGGUACCCAUACGAGACCUCUCACGGGGGCGUCCCAUAUUGUCCUUUGUUGGGAUAUUAGUUUAUUACCUCAGAAUGAUUAAUUGCACCGUUGAUCCUCAACCUUUUUAUAUAAUUUUUCAUUGUGGUCUCCAACCUUUUAUUUUCUUGCAAUCAUCGAACUCAUGACCUUUAAAAUUAAUUGCACUAUUGAUUCAUAUCACUUUGGCCCCUAAUCUCUUCUUCUCUUUAGAUGUCCAUCGCGUUAGGUCCAAUCCCAUUAUCCUCAUCAAUAUUUUUUUUUUGUGUCUACGUACCAUGACGUUGAAGUACUUGUGCAUAUUGCGUACUGCCUCUUUUAUAGAAUGUGUGAUACUAUUGACGUUACGUCGGGAGUAGGAAUGUCAACGGGUAUGGAUAUCCGAAAUUUUAUCCGAAUUCGAAUCCGAAUGAAACGAAUAUAUUCGAUGGAUAUGAAUAUAGAUUUGGAUAUGGAUAUAAAAAAUAGAAAUCCGACGGAUAUGGAUUUGGAUAUGGAUUUUGAUUGUACCCGACCAGAACCCGAAUCCGACCCGAACCCGAACCGAACCCGAAUUUAUUUUGUAUUAUAUAUAUAAUAUAUAUAUAUAUAUAUAUAUAUAUAUAUAUAUAUAUAUAUAUAAAUUUAAUGUUAUAUUUGAAUUUGUAUUUUAAAAAUUUAGAUUUAAUAUAAUAUAUUUUGAAAUAUUAAAAAAAGAAAUAAUUGUUUCGGGUUCAAAUUUUCGGGUUCAAGUUCGGGUUCGGAUUUCGAAUUUUUGAUCAGGUUCGGGUUUGGAUAUGGAUUUUUAAAAUCCGUCGGGUUCGGGUUCGGAUUCGGGUUCGGGUCUCGGGUUUGGAGUCGGAUUCGGGUUCGGGUUUUUAAAAAUCCGCCCCGAAUCCGACCCGUUGACAUCUCUAGUCGGGAGUGUUAGUUCCUAGACUCUUUAGAAAAAUUUUUAAAAAAAUCAAGAUUGAUCGAAGACUAUCGUAUCAUAACCGUGUUUUAUAUGAGCAGGCUAUAUUUAUUAGAGUUGACGUAGCCUAUCUUAUCAAAGUUAAUAUAAAUUUGGAUGAUUGAAAUCUAAUUAAAAUAAAAUAAAAAUAUUAAAAAUCAAAUAGCGAAAAAAAUAAAGUUAGGGACGAGAAUGAAAAAAAAAAGGGUAAAGGUUAGGCAUCUAUGGUUCUAUUAACACCCCAAAUCCCCUAUAAAUUUGGUGGAUCAUGGUGAGCAGUACAUUAAUUAACUCUUAUAAUUUUAUAUUUUUAGAAUAAGUAAAUUCAGCUAGAGAUGUAAGAGUAACUAGAUUUCCAACUUGAGAUUUUGAAUAUCAAUUAUUAAGUUUUUAGUCAACUAUAUUAAGUACAGCCGCUCUAGUAGAAUUCUUGGUUUUUUUAUUGAUUUUUUUAUAAGAUAAAGACCGCGAGCUGCCGGCUUCGUUUAUUUUUUACUUUAAAAACGAACAAAGUUGGAAAUGUAAACAAUCAGGUUUCAAAGUUGAGAUCUCGAGUAUUAACUAUCAAGUUGUUAACCAACUGCACCAGGUACGAUUGGUAUUUCAUGACUAGGGUGUAAUGCAGGUCGUGUCGGAUGAGGCACGUGCGAUGUACAACGCGGGUCAGGCGGGACUAACGAUGUGGAGUCCGAAUGUGAACAUCUUCAGGGACCCGCGGUGGGGCCGCGGCCAGGAGACCCCCGGCGAGGACCCCCUCGUUGCUGCGCAGUACGCAGCCGUGUACGUGCGCGGCCUCCAGCAGCCCUACGGCGGUUCCCCCGGGCACAGCCGGCUCAAGCUCGCCGCCUGCUGCAAGCACUACACCGCCUACGACCUCGACAACUGGAAGGGCCACAAUCGCUACCAGUUCAACGCCAUAGUAUGUCUCUUCUUCGCUCAAAAUCUAUAUAAUUCUUGAACAUUGACAGCAUCAUUGUCGUAGCAGAUUCAUUUCAAUAUUGUUGAUGAGUCACUAUCGCUCUUAAGUGUUGAAUUUUUCACAACGGGUCAUCGAAACUAGUGAAAAAUUUCACCAGCUGAAAAUUUUGAUCAUAUUUAAUAAACCUACUUACGAAUAUUUGUAUACGUAGGUGAGCAAGCAAGAUUUGGAGGACACAUUCAAUGUGCCGUUCAAGGCGUGCGUGGAGGAAGGGCAGGUGGCGAGCGUGAUGUGCUCGUACAACCAAAUCAACGGCGUGCCCUCCUGCGCCGACCCCAACCUCCUCAGCGGCACCGUCCGCGGCCUGUGGGGCCUCGACGGGUGAGUCCCGAGCUCAAUUCGUAAACUACUAAAUAUAUCAAAUUUUAAUUUAUAGUAAUUUCUAAUUCAAACUUUUUCAUAAUCGAACUUAGAUGAGUGAAUAAUGACGCAUCACUUAUAUAAAAUGAUAUGGUAUCUUAAUUAUUAGCGCAUUAUUAAUCACGAUACUCUUACUCACUUCUAUAUUAACGAUAUUACAGGACUUGAUUGCAAUAAUUCUGAAAAUUCGAGUUGGAAAUUGAAGCAAGUUAAAUGCGUUUUGUUGAUUUUAACUGAAACCUUUAAGUUUUCACUUGUUUCGAUUUGAAACUUUUUGUCGAAUUACUUACUGAUUCUGUCAAAUGCAUUUUUAGCUGAGAAAGUAUAAAUUUUGUCAAUAAUUAAUUUUAACAUUUUUUUUAAAAAAAAAUCUCUUAUUAGCAUUUACAUUUUUAAUAGUACAUAACAUUUUUCUUUUCCAUUUUUUUUUUUUUUUUUUUUUUUGAGAGAUAGAUAGCACGCUACCCGUUUCGUUUACUUCAUUUAAAAAUAAAUUGUCUCGGAUUGCGACUCUGUAGGUGUUUUAUACGGUGCUCAACGUUUCACCCACACCCCAGAAGAUGCAGUGGCUGUUACGCUCAAAGCAGGUAAUUUUUUAAAACAAUCAAUCCAUUUUUGCUUAUCUACUCACUCAUCCAAAAAAAAAAAAAAUAGAACAACUCAUUUUUCUCUUUUCGUCAGCUUUUCUGUUAAUAUUUCAUUAAGUUAUAUACAAAAGCCUUCAGAUAUCUUAUCUAAAUUUAUCAAAUAUUCAUUCACUUUAGUUUUCUUUAGUUUUAACUUAGUCACUGAUUUAACGAAAAAAAAUUAGUAGAAUGGAUAAUAAAAAGGAAAAAAUAAAACCACAGAGUAUUAAAUUAAUACACUUUAAAUCAUAGGGUACUAAAGUGAGAAAGUAUGAAACCAUAGGGGUGGUAUUUGAAGUUUUUCCUAAUAUAUAUCUAUAUAUAUAGAAGAUUUGUCGAGAAAAUGGUUAUAACUUGUGGGAUUAAUUACUUCAAUGCCCUCUGGAAAAGUUGUAAUUUCAUAAAUGAUGUUUGGAGGGAUAUUUAUGAUAUAUUUAUAUAUUUAGAGAUUUCAUAAAUGAUGUUUGGAGGGAUAUUUAUGAUAUAUUUAUAUGUUAGAGGAGCAUGCAAUGAAUGAUGAGUCCGGCUACUAUACUUUUAUGAGUAUUGGCUCCUUUAUGCUUAUAAAUUUUUGGCUCUCAGAUUUAUUCUAUUGAUCAUUUCCACCCGUUAGAUCAUACUAUUCAACCAACUACCUACUUAACCCUAGAAAACCACUAUCAUUCUAAGUGAAAACCACCGUCAUUUUAACCACACAUUCUAUCAAUCAACGGUUAAAAAUUUAUGAGUACAAGGGCGUCUAUACUUAUAAAAGUAUAGUAGCCCAACCAUGAAUGAUGUAUUUAGAUAUAUUAUGUUUGGAAUAACCUUUCACUCAUACAAAAUUUGGUGUAUUGUGAUGUCUUUUACUGUAGGAUUGGAUCUGGACUGUGGGCCUUUCUUGAGCAAGCACGCGGAAAGCGCGGUGCAGCAGGGGAAGAUCAGCGACGCCAACAUCGACGCGGCCCUGAUCCACACCGUCAUGGUCCAAAUGAGGCUAGGGAUGUUCGACGGCGAGCCGUCGAAGCAGCCCUUCGGAAACCUCGGCCCGCGGGACGUCUGCACCCAGGCCCACCAGGACCUGGCCCUGCAAGCGGCCCGGCAAGGGAUCGUGCUGCUCGACAACGACCGAGGAAUUCUGCCUCUCUCUCGAGAUCGCGUCUGGACCGUCGCUGUCGUCGGCCCGAACUCCGACGCCACCCUCACGAUGAUCGGAAAUUAUGCCGGUAAAUUUGAAAGAGAGAGAGAGAGAGAGAGAGAGAGAGAGAGAGAGAGAGAGCAAAAAAAAAGAGAUUCAUUUCUUUAGUAUUCGGCCCAUUAAAGGCCCAAUGGGCUUCUUUUUUUUUGAUUGUCCAUCUUUGGUUAAUUUGCAGAGAGGCCCCUCCACUAUACACAGCUUCGAAAAUGAUCCUAUAGUUUUCCUUUUUAUUUAGGAUUUUUUUUUUUUUCAUCUGACCUUGGAACUCUUGAGGGGUGUUUUGAUCUAAAGUUUAUACUCUUGAGGGGUGUUUUUUUACCGAAUUCCUGUAACAUUUAACAACCAAUUACUAGUGAAUAGUUAACGGAAUUGUUUAAAUUAUGUCAUCUAACAAAAUAACUCUAAUAAUCGCAAAAUUCAAAAGAAAACCAAACUCCAGGAGUUUCUAAUUUAAGAGAAAAACAAAAAACAAAAUUAAAGUUGCCGGCUCUGUUUUGAAAGUCACAAUGGUUGGAGGGUCUCUUUGCAAUUUUAUAUAUUGCAUUUUUUUUUUCUUCUUUUUUUUUUUUCUGGGAAGAGUUUGCACUAAUGAGAUCUUGUAUAUGGUGUUAGGUAAUCCAUGUAGGUUCACAAGCCCUCUGCAAGGGAUUGGGCGAUACGUGAACACAAUUCACCAAAAGGGUUGCACCAAUGUGGCCUGUGUAGGGAACCAGCCCAUCGAGGCGGCGGCGGGCGCGGCCCGCGUCGCCGACGCGACGAUCAUGAUUGUGGGCCUCGAUCAGUCCGCAGAGACCGAGGCGUUGGACCGGGUGUCGCUCCUCCUCCCGGGCCGGCAACAGGAGCUGGUGUCGAAGGUGGCGGCGGCGGCGCGGGGGCCGGUCGUCCUGGUCCUCAUGUGCGGCGGGCCCGUGGACGUGACGUUCGCGAAGAACGACCCGAAGAUCGGCGCGAUUCUUUGGGCCGGGUACCCGGGCCAGGCCGGAGGCGCGGCGAUCGCCGACGUUAUAUUUGGCGCCUACAAUCCAAGUACUUUUUCGUCUCCAGGUGUUACAGCGCUAUUCGAAAAAACACUAAUAAUUUUUUUUAUUUAUUUUAUUUUUUUAUUUUACAGGUGGUAAGCUCCCAGUGACGUGGUACCCCGAAGAGUACGUGGAUACGGUUCCUAUGACCGAUAUGGCGAUGCGACCCGACCCGGCCCGGGGCUACCCGGGCCGGUCGUACCGGUUCUACACCGGUCCAGUGGUCUACCCCUUCGGCCACGGACUCAGCUACACCCGGUUCGCCCAGUCGCUCGCUGAACCGCCUCCGGCCUUGCUCGCCGUCCCGGUCCGGGGCCGUCCCCGGCUCAACUCGACCGGGCCGGGCUGGGCGGCGGUCCGGGUGGACCGCGCGCGGUGCGAGGGCCUCGUGAUCCCGGUCCACGUGGACGUGGCGAACGUGGGGGGCCGCGACGGGGCCCACACGGUGCUCGUGUAUUCGAGGCCCCCGCCACGUGGCGGGUCGGCGCCCGGGAAGCAGCUCGUGGCGUUCGAGAAGGUACACGUGGCGGCCGGGGGGAGGGUCCGCGUGGAGGUGGGCGUCGACGUGUGCCGGGACAUGAGCUUCGCUGACGUCAGCGGGGUGCGGAGGAUCCCGAUCGGCGAUCACAGCAUCCAGAUCGGCGAUUUGCUGCACUCCGUCUCGCUAACGGUCCAAGCCCACGUCUAAAAAACGUCCCCUCGACAUUUUAGAAAUUACGCAUUGGUCCUCCAUUUAUUAUUAUAGGAACUACGAAUUAUUAUUUCAAUUUGGGAACCAGGAAAAAAAAAAUGUUAGGGGGAGAGUCGCAAGAGUCUCUCGUUUGAAAACAGGAAAGAAAAGGGCAAAUUAUGACUGUAUUGAUGUAUUGAUUCAGGCACUGAGAAUUAUAUUGGGGGGAGAUCAAAUGAAAUUAAUUAUGAAAUUAUGCAAGUAGGAUAUAUAUAUAUAUAUAUAUAGUUGGACUGGGCUACUAUUAGUAGCAAAAUCUCAUUAUUACUAUCAGUUUUUUAGCCUUUGAAUCAACUCUUUUCAUUAUUUCUAACCAUUGGAUUAAAUACUAUAACCCAGUGGGAACCACUCAACCCUAGGGGGACAACUCAACUCUAACCGACUAAUAUCAUCCUGAUCCUACAAUUUUUCAUCCAAGGGUUGAAAACUUGAUAGCAAAAAAAGCGUUUUACUAUUAAUAGUAUUCCAGCAAUCCAGCCUAAUUCUCUCUCUCUCUCUCUCUCUCUCUCUAUAUAUAUAUAUAUAUAUAUAUAAUUAUUGAUGAUUCAAAUAAAAAAAAGGAAAUUGAUAUUUUAUUUCCGAAUUGGGUUUCCCAGUUUUGAUUAAUUACAAAGAGAUGUAAAGAUGACACUAAGAAGGCGAAACCCUACAUACAAAAAGGGAUCAUUCAGCAAACUUUUAGUCUCAAAUUUUACCAUUCCAGCACUAGAAAGGUAUCAAACAUAUCAGAAUGCAGGAUACAGGUCCAAAAUAGUAGAAAGGUAUCAAACAUAUCAGAAUGCAGAAUAAACAUCCAAAACAUAGUAGAAAGGUAUCAAACAUAUCAGAAUGCAUAAGACAGAUCCAAAAAUAUAGUAGGAAGGUACCAAACAUAUCAGACUGCAGGAUACAGAUCCAAAAAUAUAGUAGAAAGGUAUCAAACAUAUCGGAAUGCUGCUGAUUCACAAUCUCCAAAAUGUCAUAGAAAAUGGCUUAGUCUAAAACUAGGGCACAGCUCUUAUAUCUUGUCGCACAAUCGAAACACUUGCAGUAAAAUUGAUGCCUCUAAUAAAACAGAUGUGAUAUAGACCUUCGAUCGUAUAUACAUCAUGAGAGAACAUAAUCGAAUAUAGCAUCGCAUUUCGUCAGAAAGAAGGAUCAAUCAAUAAUCCUUUCUCCAUCCAUUAUGUGGAUCCUGUAAUCUACUUGCGCUGACACGAAAAUAACCCUAAAUAUUACAUGGCGAAUAUCAUAGUUACAGUAUGAUUCCUCAUUAACCAUAUCAAGGGGCAAGGGGCUUUUCCUCUUCUUACUUCUGCAACUGUACCUGCAUCUCUCUGCCAAAUCCGGUAACGAGGGCACACAGCAAACAAGAGUUAUUUGACCGCCUCCGGAGCUGAAUUGCAGUAAGGCGUAUGUAAGCAAACCAACCUAGUCGACGUUAAACACAGGCACGCAAACCCUAACCCCAUCAAAAGCCCGUAGUAACUCUUCCUGGCAUCCAACCUCACCGACCGCUUAAACACCCGCCCGAAACUAGGGAUCAACGUCCCGCAAGCAAACACCAUCCAAUAGUCGAGCCCGUUGUAGUCGAUGCCUGCAAGUAUCGCACCGAUAGCUGAGGUGGGACCUGCGAACCCAGUUAGGGCAGCGGCAGCCAGGGCAGCCCGCCAGCUGUCGGUGGCGCCGAAUAUGCAGCUGGCGACGGCAGCACCACGUGGCAAGCCGUGAAGGGAGGCCGGGAGUACCAUGUGGCGGCCGAGGCCGUAAGCUUUGGGGGCUGCCACCCCCAGGGCUAGCCCUUCGGCUAGGGCGUGUAGGGAGAUGGCCCCGCACGCCAAGAAUGAUUGCAAAGUUAGUGCACUUAAAGAAAGGGUAGAAGAAUGCGGGAAAUCAUUGACGGAGGCCUUCUUGCGCUGUACCAGGUUUAAUAUGCUGGAUGUGGCUGCAUGGUAGAAAACGGAGCCUGAGAAAAGGAUAGUGAGGAGGGAAAAGAAGCCCAUUUUUGAGGCAGCGAGUAGUUGUAAGGGUCGCCAUGCCGCGAGGAGAAAGGCAAUGCCAGAAGCCACACCGGUUAGGAGAGUAUGCGGCAGGUGGAAAGCAAGAGUGAAGGCAACAAGGGUGAUGCCGCCAAAAAGCGGGCCAAGACCGAACAGAAAUGACACCAAGAAGCCUGAGGCAUCUUCGGAUCUGUAACAUGGAUUAAAUAGUUAAUAGCAGAAGCUUGUCUCUUUUCUGAUAAACCCGUAUAGAUCAAAAUUUUACUGAAAAAACUGUAUUGAGUAAUGAAAACUGGAGCUUACUUGUAUCCAUGGCUAAACCCCUGAAGCACUACGCUUAAAGUUUCCAUGAAAGCAACAGCAAGUGUGCCGGCAGAAGCAACUUGAGAUGGAGUAGCUUCCUGGAAAGGAAAUAGAAAAGAUAUAUAUUAUGUUGCACUUGAAAGACGGAAGAAUGAGGCACAGAAAUGAAGUAGCCAACCCCAAAAUUAGAUUCUAAUGCUAACUGUAUGGAACAAAGGGGGGGUCAGUAAGUUUUAAUUACCUUGAAAGCAUCAGGGAGGACCUCAGCAAUCACCAUCCAUAUCAUGCAUCCAGCAGCAAAGCCCGUACAGAAUGGAAGGACCUUGUGGAAUGCAUCGGCACAAAGGAACGAUGGAACAGCUACAAGGGGCUGAAAAAUAACACGAAGCCAAAGUUAUUUUCGUAAUUGAAACUCGGAAUGGAAAAUAGAGGUGUUACACAAGCUGUCAUCAUUGCUUAUUAUGUUCAGCAGGGCAUGGCAUUUAUAUUCUUAGAGGGAAACCAGAAGGGAGAACAAUUUUCAAGUUCAAAAACAAGUUCAUUAAUUAUGCAGAAAAUAAAUUGCUGUGGCAACAUAAAUUUUGAAUUACUUUAAAUGAAGAGCACUUGCAAAACCUGCCAGUCUUCUCAACAUUUUUAUAAAAAACAAGCUCCGAGAACAGGAGUUAAGACAAAUUUGCAAUCAAAUUUAGUCCAACUAGAACCAUAAUUUACUGGAAAAAAAAAAGGACCCUUUGUGUUCAAUGUUAGCUGCUUGGCCAAUUAAAAGGAGUGUGCACGAUUCGGUUGGUCUGUUUUUGGAGCAAAUAUGUUUGACCUAUACAGUGGUCAAAUAUGAUAAGUUUUCAACUCUUAAACCCAUUUUUCUCAUAGUGGGGCCUGCUUGAUUUAUCAGUAAGUAGAAGCAACUAUACUAGUGUGGAUAGUUGUUGCAGUGGUAAACCUUAGAUUUUUUUGGAGAGGAUGCGAGUCCCAAACUCUCUGACCAGACAAUACUUUUCUACUUGUAAAUUUAAUGUGAGUAAUUUAUCUUUUGUUGCUGAUAAUUUAACUAAUUUUUAUAACCAGAAUUGGUUUAAUUCAGUUUGAAACCAGAUUUUUGUAGAAGAAUACAGAAGAAUGUAGACAGACAACAUAUUCUUCAGUUCAAGAAAAUAAGACAAAUAAUUUGAUAAUGAUAACUGCAAUGGACAAAGUUUACCUGAGGCAAUGAUGUAAUGAAACUCCACAACAUGGCAUUUUGCGGGGAGACCCCUCGAGAAGCAAGAACCAUGCUCACAGCUAAACCUUCAGGUAUGUUGUGCACAGCUAUUGCUAGGGUUACCAGAAUUCCUUGAGAAAGUCCUUUUGAUCCAGCAAAGGACACCCCAACGCCUGAACCCUCUCCAAAAGAAUGAAGUGUCAUUAUUCCAACCACAAGUAUUACUUUACUAGCAUCGGCACCUUUAAUGUCCAGCAUGCUUACUUCUCCAUAUUGUUCAAGAAACUGCACAGCAAAGAACAACAUUAGUUAAAUACAUUAUUAUGUGCGAUUCAAUGUCUAUGAAAGAUAAGUAGGACAUGUCACACCAAAAUUGACACUGUAAGACAUUGCAUGACCACUCACCAAAAUUAACAAAAAGUCUAAUUUCAAAUGCAAGGGUUGAACGAUGUGAUUAAAUUACAAGAUACUUUGGUAUCUAAAGUGAAGAAUAAAAAGAUAACUGAAGAAUGGAGGAUAUCCAAAUUACAGAUAUUCGACCUUGUUUUCGUUGUUUUCUCCUAAGGAAAAUAGUUUGAAAACAUAAAAGAAGGUAAGAAAACAUUGCCAAGCUGAGCAUGCAUGUAGUGCAACAAUUGCAUUACAAUUAGAAAAUUACCAACAAUUAGAAGAACACAAAGAAGCAAUUCAAUCAAGUGAUAUGCAUGCACAUAUGAUCAGAGACAAAUAUGGCUAUCUAAGUAAAUGAAGUUGUAAACUGAACACAUUUUAUGCUGGCAAGCUACAAAACUAAAAAUAACAUAAUAUGCUCAACCAUUUAGGUUGAGAAUAUAAACAUGGAUUUCAACCUUUCUUUUAUCGACACUUUAUACCUUCUUACAAAGCCAAAUGAAGAUCCCUCCACUUAAAAGCCCAACAACCACCCAGUUUCCACCACCGUAAUCCUGGCCUUCCUGAACAAGAUCAAAGCUUGCGGCCAACAUCACCCCAGCAGCCAAGCCAUUACACACACCAGCCCAUUGGGCCUCCAACUCCACAAAGAAAAAAGGGAUCGCUCCCAGCCCAGUUGCCGCGGCCAUGGCAAGAGUAAGCCAUGCAACAGUUGACACCGACACUCUGCUCCGACCAACCUCCCUCUCUCCAAAUGAUUGGAAAUUAUCAAACCCAGCUGUAACAGUUCCAUCAUUAACUUUAUUCUCGAUGUUUCUGUGAGGAGCAGUUCGAAUUCUGUGAACAAUUUCCUUCUCAGACUCCGCCAAUGUAUGGCCAUUUAACACGAGAAAGAAAAGCAGAAAAGGCAAAACAAUUUCUAUCCUUUGGGCCAUCAAAAGAAAUGAUAUAUCAAAUAUUAAAAAAAACUCUGGAGAUCUUUUGCCUCGGAACAGAUUAGAAUUAUCUGUACAUCGGCUAAUAUGAAGGGAACAUUCAAUCUUCUCCUUGAACACUAUACCCAAUUCGAAACUCUGCCCUUCCGUGAGAAAGACAAACUGACGAACAAACGCGUUCAGAAAUUAACCAACUCAGACAAGUUGGGCUGUAACAUAGGUGUCACAAAUUCUUCUUCAAUCUCUUCAUAUCAGCAAACCAAGCCUCUGAAUCCACCAACCUUUGAAGAAUAUACAUAGAAUUGUGCGAAACUAAAGGUUCCCAAAUUUUUCCCUUUGACUAUGACUCAGUCAUUAUGCAAUUCUAAAUGAGAAGAUAUCUUAACGCUCGAUCAAACAGGCAUCUGAGGAGAUCCGCAACUGCAGAACAAAUAAAGAUUAUCAAACCAUUAUUCAACAGCUAAUUUUGCAAAAUAUGAAAGCAAUAAAAAGACAUUCAGAUAAUCGAGAUGUUUCAAGAAUAACCAAUUUACCAAUCAAAUGCCUCAUUCAAAUGCAAUAGAAAGUAAGAUCCAUCAAGUUCGAUCUACACAACUCCCAAUUAUGAGUAGUAAAACAAAACUAUCAUGGCCAAAAUGAAAUGUUUGAUGAAUUCAAUAAACGCAUAAGAACGAUUCGUAACUGAAAAAUGAGAUCUUAAUUGCCAAACUGUUACCAGAUAUGAUAGCAAACGUGCCUUCUUCUCAAACAUAUUGUUUACUUCCUCUUUGCGUAAAAUGAAACCCAUCAAAACCCUAACUCCCCAUUUCGAAAGAUUUAUUAAACCCUAAUACAGCCGCGGCUAGAUCCAACAGAUCCAAAAGCACCAAAUUCUAGAGGAAAUUCGCUUAACAGGUUAAACAAUUUCUCGAUCAUAAAUCGAAUACCACCAAAACCCCAACUCCCAAUUCGAUUAUCACAACAUGCAAGAGAAUCAGAGAGGAACCCUAAAAAAGCCCUCAAUUGUGAAGUCAAACUGCUCCAAAACUAUCAAAUUUCUCGAGGAAAACAUCGAAAAAUUAGUAUUUGCAUAAACAGAAUCUCAUCAAAACCCUAAUUCCCAAUUCAAUCAUCCAAAAUCAAAGACAAUCAAAGAGAGGAACUCAUAAAAACCUCAAAAUGCGAGAUCCAACAGCUCCAGAAUCAUCGAAUUCUCGGCCAAAUUCGACAGCAAAUCAACGCACGAACGCGAUCCUAGUGGGACGAAACCCCAGAUGGCGUGAAAACCUCCUCUUUUAGGAUUCGAAUAUUCUUCGUAAAAAAAUAUAUAUAGUAAUUAAAUAGAUCGGAAAAGGCGGAAAACUAGGUACGCGCCCACUGAAUCGGAGCGAAUCCACAGCGAAAAAAUCGGUAAAAAAAAAAGAAAAAGAAACAAAGAAAUUCUUUUUUCGAUUGAAGAGUUCGAAUUCGUAGGGGGUGAAUCGAAUUGAUUUGGGGCUUCGAUUCGAAUUGAUGAGAGAGAGAGAGAGAGAGAGAGAGAGAGAGUGGAAUUGCAAAGGAUAAAAUGGGUAAAGGGGUCUCUCGCGUACAAUAGGGAAAAAUUCGAAUACCACCCUGUGAUUUUACACUUUUUUAUUUUCAUACCUUAUAGUUUAAAGUGUAUCAAUUUAGUGUUCCAUGAUUUUAUUUUUCUCUUUUUAUUAUCCCCUUCGUUAUUUUUUUUAUUAAAUCAGUGACAAAGUUAAAACUAAAAGGUACUGAAGUGAAUAUUCAAUAAACCUACGUCAUCUGAAGUUUUUUUGUAUAUAAUUUAACGAAAUGUUAAUAGAGGAGCUGACGAAAACAUCUAUAAACUCUAUAUUAAUCCCCAUGAUUUAAAGCUGACGUGGCAAAACCACAAUUUUUUGGAAUUUAUUUAUUUUUUAUUUUUUUUUAUUUAUUCUUAAUCUUUUCUUCUCUCUUUUGAUCCUUCACGAGACGUCCCUUCGACUCCCGCUCCUCCUCCUCCCCAACCCGACGUCCCCUCGAUUCCCGCUCCCCCCUAACCCGACGUCCCCUCGACUCCCGCUCCCCCUCCUCCCCAACCCGGCGUCCCCUCAUCUCCCGCUCCCCACUUCCCUACCCCCCAACCCAAUGUUCUCUCAUUCUCUCUCUUCAUCUCACCUACGUCUUCUCUCCGCGGUCCUCCUUCCACCUUCUCUCUCCUCCCUUCCAGAUCUCGCGUCGACGCGCGCCCCUGUGACCCCUACAACGUCUACACCAACCCCACCGCCGCCAUCCUUUGCCCCGACCCCUUCUAGAGCAUGUACGCGCAAAUGCUCUGCGGCCUCCUCCUCUCCGCCGAUGUCCUCCACAUCGGCGCCGUCUUCGCCUUCAGUUCUCCGCGCCCUCCACUUCCUCUGCCUCCACCGGCCCCAAAUCUGUCACGGCUUAUCCACCGGAACCCUGAACCCUGCCAUUGUCACCGACCCCUUCGUCUGCAAGGCCGUCGGAGAGCUCCUGACCAAGCCAGAGCCCGAACUAGCCCAGCGGAUCGCCGCGGAGUGCUCGGGGGACAACUGGGAGGGGAUCGUGCGCCGCGUGUAGCCGAACACCAAGUACUUGGACGUGAUCAUGGGCAAUGGCACAGCACAAAAUACUCAUACAAGCUAUCUUACAUUGCUGAGUUAUUGCAUUCAGGAAUGUUACCAUAAAUAAAUAUUUUCUAUAUUGUUUUCAUCAACAACUCGCAAGCUAGCCCAGAAAUAUCUGAAGAACAAUCAAAUAGUCGAAAAAGAGCAUGCACAUAAGAAUGAAUCAAUUAGAAGUUCACAUUGCAUUGAAAAAUCAAUAAGAAUAAUAACUUAUACUGUACUUUGUUUUGUAGUUACAUGGAAAGUUNUUAUAUAUAUAUAUAUAUAUAUAUAUAUAUAUAUAUAUUGAAAUAGAAAUUUAUUAGAUUGCCAACUUUGUAUGCUAUUAUUUAUUUCAGUUUUGUCAGAUCUGAUAAGAAAUUUUGCAGUUUACUUAAUGAAAGGCCUGAAGAGGACUAUGGUCCUGCUGUCAUCGAGAGGGAUGGGAUUUUGCAUGUAAAGGGCUUUCCUGCAGUGAGAACCCAACCUUUAUGAUAGGAGAUCUUUUGAAGAAGGUUCAAUGUGGUAAAAACAAGCUAUCAGGUUGGCCAAAGAGCACUUUAUACAAAUUUUAUAGAAGAGCUUUAGUUUCAACCCCAUUCCCAUAGUGAGUAGUGCUCUGUUUAGUGGAUUAGGUUGAGCUAAAAGCUCUUAAUGGGAUCCAAGGCAGUAAUUUUCGCGAGAUGUGACUGUUGUACACAUAUCCCUAGAGGAAACCACCUAUAUAAGAGUAUCCGUAUGUAGCCGCGACUAUGUAAUAUGGGCUAUCUAUAGAAACUCUUAUGAAAAAUCAAGAUACCGUCAUGGCCAUUAACGCACAGACACGUAACGGAGAAUUUUGUACUGUGUAUGUGGUGGUUGAAGUCAGGAUCAAAGGAACGUAGUUCAAGACCCGAUUCACUCCGAUUCCUUCUGAUGAAAAUUGUUUACACUAAGGGCAUGUUUGGAUCACCUAUUUUAGAGUAUGGAAUCGGAAUGGAAUUCAUUGAUUCCGAUAGUUGAUGUUUGUUUUAUAGGAAUCGGAUUCCGAUUUCGAUUCCACUCCGGAAUGGGAAUGGCCAAAUCCAUUUAUGAUCCAAUCCGGCUUUGAAUCCCGGAUUUGCUCAUUCCAAAGUAAACUAUUCAAAAUCUUCUUUCAUCAACACAUACCUCCUCUCCCUUUAUCACUUUUCUCUCUCUUAAUCAAAACCCUCUGUAAAAAAUUUUAAAUUUUCAUUAUGAUUUCCAUUCCAAUAAUGAACCAAACAUUUUUGGAUGAUUCGUCAUUCCAUUUUCCAUUCCAAAGCAAUCCAAUUUUAUUUUCCAUUCCUAUUCUAAUCAUAAACCAAACAUACCCUAAGUGAGGUUAAGUCUCUUAAUGAUACCUCACCCAUUGCAUGUAUAAACACCCAGUAUUUUUCUUUUCUGACUUUAAUUUGUAUUUUAAGAAUUUUGAGUUUUGUGGGGGAUUGUUGGUUAAAAACUCAAAAUUUUAAAAUUUGAAUUUUAUUCUAUUUGAAUUUUUAAAUUAUUUAUUUAUUAUUUAUCGUUAUUUAUUAUUUUUAUAAUUUAUUUAAUUAUUUAUUUUUAUUAUCUUUCUUAAUGAAAAAGAAACUAACGGGAUAUUUUUCCGUUCCGUGUUUCUUCCGCCAAACGGAAUCCCAUUUCGUUGCCCGCCAAACGGAAUCCCAUUCCGUUGCAUGGGUUCUGCUCCUUUCUCGAGAAAGAACGUGAAUUCUCUUCUCUAUAUAUUAUUUCUUUUUCUCCCUUAUUAAGAAUGAUAUUAGAUAAUCUAUAUAUUAUCUCUUUUUCUCCUCUGUUAAGAAUGAUAUUAGAUAAUUGGUUAAUCUUUAUCUAUUCAUUAUUUUAUUUUCUAAUAUUUUUUUCUUAUCUACCGGGUGCUGAAAGAAUUUUCGUCAACCUCUUUCGAUCGUGCUCGCAGGAGGUGGAAUUCCGGUCGUACCUUCGGGUGUUAUUUCCGGUUAAUCCCGCACGUAAGGACGGGAAUACACCUUAGGGCAGUGCCUAACACGCUUCCGGAUAAGAUCAAAAUUUUAUUGAGAUGUUUGCAUUUAUCUAUAAGUUUGAUUUAUUUAUUUUUAUCACAAAAUUAGUUAAAUUUUAAUCACAAUUCGAUUUAUGUUGCGGUAUUUCCCCAACAUAUUUAAGAUCUUUUUUUCGCACAUUUGAAAGCAUUUAAAAAUGUCGGCAAAUAUAAAUAUGCUAUACUAAAGAAUUACCAUCGUAAAAAUAUGAAUACAAUGAAAUAAGAAGUUGCCAAAUAGCCCUAAAUUAAAUUACAAGUCCUAAAAUUUCAUAUUAUAUUUCAGUGUUAGAUCUCUCUCUCUUAUUUUUCCUCCCAUCUAUAUGCUUGGAUGUGAAAGUGAGUUGUUGAGACUACUUUUAAAUUUUUCGCAUAAAAUUUAAAAUGCAUAUUCUAGACCGCUAAUUUAGUUAUCAAAUCAUAUUUGUAGAUGAUGUAAGAGUUGAAUAAUAAUAAUAAUUAUGAAUUAAUACCACAAUUAAAAGCCUAUCGAUUGUUGCGAUACCAUUUCUUGAUACUUGAGUUANUUUUUUUCAACAAUUUUUUUUUUUUUUUGCUUACAGCAAGUGUAAAAUUUUAUCCCAUGAAUUAAUCCUAUUUUUCAAUAGUCAAUAUAGCAAAAUUAAAAUUUCAGCUAAUAAAUAUCAACACCUUUUUUUUAUUUUUUUCUACAUCAAGUAUAAAAUUUUACACUUGCUAUUAUUGAUAUUUCUUCUCUAUAUUUUCUAAUGUUACUAACUAAUAUAUUGCUAUAUCUUGCAUGCAUCUUUUUUUUCAUUUUUUGCACUCUUUUUUAUCUGAUUUGCAAGCUUAUAGUUACAAAUAUGGUAUAAUUUUUUAUAUAUUUGUUAGUCACUGCUUAGUUCUUUUUUCAUGUGAGAUUUUUUAUAGUUCUCUCAUAUAGAUAUAUCAUUGGUUUUUAGAUUUUUUGAAUUAGUAAAAUAUGCAAUGAUUGCAAAUUUCAAAUAUUUUGUUAGUUCUAAAAUUGAACACUAUUAUAAAUAUACUGUUAGUUCUUUAUCUUAUUUUUUUAAUUAUGCAGUUAUUAUUUUUCUUUCGCAGGAUCGACCCGCCGCAACGCACGGGUGACUUAACUAGUAAAAGUUAAACCACAUGGUACUAAAUUGAUACAUUUUAAAUCACAGGAUAUUAAAGUAAAAAAUUACGAAACUACAGGGGUGGUAUUUGAAGUUUAUCCAUAAUAAUAUAAUACUAGCGAAGGUACCCGCGCGAUGCAGCGGUCAAUUUCAUAAAAGCAUAUGAUCGAUUUUUAUAGAAGCAGUAAAUUAGGAUCCUGAUCUUAAACAAUGAUGGAUCAUCUCCAUAGUGAGCAAACAGCACCCUCAUAAUGUCGGGAGUAGUCCAUGACAGUCAUAUCAUAAUCUGAUUGUACGGCCGCCGUUUGGCUCUCAUUCUCCCCGUCGCGAAAGUUACUCAAAUGGACCAAUUUAGGUUUUUUUUUUUUCUUUUCUUUGUAUAAGCACCCCUACUAAUAUGUAAAAUUGUAGAGACAGACCUAAAAAUUAUUAUUUGACAUAUUAUUUAGGGAUAAAUAUACAAAAAGAGAAAAACCCAAUUUAUUUACGGUUACUUUUCUUUCAAGCUAGAGAUUACAAUCAAGAUAAUCACAGAAUUUGAAAAUAGCAUAGCAAAACUUAAAGGGUUCAAUUCAAAAUAGUAUGAAACUCUCACAAUUUCCUUCAAGAAUAGAAUUUGGAAAAAUAUUUUGUAGAAGUGUUUGUGAGUAUAUCACUUUUUGAUUGUUGAAGUAUUUUAGUUCAUCUUAUCCAUAUAUUGUCUAAAGUUCAUUCCGAUGCAUUGAUAAAACAUGAAUUUUAUGGCACAUUUGAUUCACUUAAAAGCAAAAACAUUGAUCAGUUUAUACUUUUUAAAAUUUAACUCGAUUAAUUUUGAUACAUUUUGAAAUAAAGGGUAGGAAUUAAAGAAGAGAAAGUUACCUUUAAUAAAUAAUAUCUAGAAGAAAUGCUAUUAGUAACUCUACAUUAGGUAGAAAGCGAUGCAUAUCUGGAAGCUUCUGAGUGUUCUUGUUACCCCGCCAUUAUCUCGAUCAACGGCACUGCCUGUGCCAAGAUUGUCGUCCUCCACCACUACCACCACAACGCUGGUGCUGCUGGCUCAUCCACCUCGUCUUCCUCUACCGUACGAUCCAACCCCUAUUCUUUCUAACCCCGUGCCCUCGCGCGCUACACUCGCCACACCCACCAAAGGGUUCUCACUGAUGGCGGUGAGGAUAGGUCUGGCAACCCCAUUUUCGGCGAUGGUAAUAGUAACAACAGCCUCUUCAGUAGUAGCAGGGCGGCGAAGAGCGACAGCGGAGUCGGCAUGUAGGAGCGUGUCAAAUCUAAAGAGAGAGAGAGAGAGAGAGAGAGAGAGAGAGAGAGAGAGAUGGAGAGGGAGAGAAGACAUUUCAAAACCAAAGACAACCAUGGAAACUCAUUAAUUGGAGGACGACAUAUGGGAAGGCGAGAUAACCGGUGGGAAGGCGAAGCGGCGGCAUCGUAAAAUUGCAUAGUAAAGAAACUGAAAAUAAGAAAAGUGUGAACACAAUUAUAAAAUGUUGUGUAGGAAUGUGAGGAGGUGACAACACGAUUGAAAAUAAGAAAGGUGUGAACACAUUAAUUAUAAGAUAACGAAUAGGAAUGUGAGGAGGCGGAAACACUUCAUAAAAAUAGAAUAAAAAUUUUAAAAAUGAAGUCUAUUUCCCUAAAAUAUAGAGGGCAUGCCAUGUCAGCUCGGUAUUGAGCUUUCAUAUAGUUUUAUAGAUAAUUCAUAUAUAUAUAUAUGGUGACAAUGUAUGGAAAACCCCCUCACCAAUUGAUGAUUUUGAAAUGGACCGUCAACUCUGAAUAUUUUUUCUCUCUAAAUUUGAUAUGUGAAAAUUUUAUUUUAUAAAAAUAAGCGUUUAUACUGCCACAUUCAUGCUAUGACCGUCAAUGAUCCGAACACGAGUGAUCUGGGACUGUCUCGUGUUCAUUAUAAAGUUAAAAAAUUCAAUUUGUGUUUGGCGUUUAUUAACGAGCCGAACAACUUACUGACCGUCAAUCCUACUACCGGAUGAAAAGUUGAAGGAAAAUAAAAAAAAAAUUAGAAUCUUAAUUUAAUAAUUAAAAUUCAUAAAAUAUAUAUCUUUUUACGUUUCUGUGGGUCUAGAAUAAUUUAAAUAGUAAAAAUUUGUACUACACACACGAGCUACAGCGAGCUGAACGCUAGCGAGUUGACUCUAAUUCAUGUUUUACUUAUUAAGAUUUCGAGCUAAAAAAUGUAUCUCAUUUGAUUCGGUUAUUAAAUGAGCAAUCGAUCUCACAAUCUAGCUCAUGAAUAGCGAGCUAAAUCAACAGCUCUAGUUUAUAUUUUAUACUAUACGAGUGAUUGAUAUUAUACGAGCUAAAAAGUAUGAUAAGUCGUUUACCGUAUUUUGGAUUUGAAUCAUUGACUACCUAAUCAUUUAAUUAACAGUUAACAAUUAAUUAUGCCAUUAAAUUUAACGAAAUGUUUAGUGUAACUAAUUAUUAUAAUGCUGAAAUAAAAUUUAGAGAAAAAGAUGAACGUAACUUUUAUGUAACGUAUUAUAUCUAACAUAUCAACAGCACAUAAAGAUAAUAUUCUAAAUAACUUAUAAUAUCGAUGUUAUAGUAAAAGUUUUUUUUUUUUUCUGACAAUCUUAUCGAAUUUUGUAGAGAUAUAUUUGCAUUAUGAUAUGUUUACACGGAGAUGUAUGAAAUUAUCCCUUUAUUUUUUAUCAUCCAAACUCAUACUUUGCAUUUUUUUUAAUUAAGUUUUUACUGUUAAAAAUAGCUUCCAUUGUAAAGAAACAGUUUUUAUAGAGUUAAUAGUAUCUGAAAUAAUAGAAGCUUAAUUGAAAUAAAGAUUAAACUUUAAAACUAUAUAAUUAUUUUAAUCAAUUAUCGAACUCCUAAUUUUAUUUUUUUUGGUUAAUUUCGUACAGGUCCCUACAAACAUAGUGAAUGACAAAUAUAUUCCUACAAAGUUCAACUUUCAUAUGUUGCUUCUAAAAAAGUGCUGAUAUUUUCAAAUAUGUUCCUCUGAUUUGUAACCAUUAGAGAACCAUUAGAAAACCAUUUAUAUUUUCAAUUUUGUUAUCACAAAUAUAUCCCUUCAAAAAUUAUAACAGUAUAAUAUAAAGAGUGAAAAUAUAAAAAACUAAUCAAGGUUAAGUAUUUAACAUAUGGUUAACUAAAUUUUUCUAAUAGAUUCUAACGGCAGGAACAUAUUGAAAACAUCAGGACUUUUAUAGAGACAAUAUAUAAAAGUUGAAUUUUAUAGAGAUAUAUUUGUCAUUCACUAUAUUUGUAGGGACCUGUAUGAAAUUAAUCUUUUGUUUUUUAAUAAACUAUUGGAGAGAGAGAUAAAUGUGAUUAUUUUAUAAAGCUAGUCGAUGACAAUGAUAGAAUUAUUAUUUUUACCAUCUAAGAAAUUAAAAAUUAUGUAAUAACUUUUAAGUUUAUUACUUAAUAGCUAUUUUAUUAGUGGCGCAAUCUCAUCGAUACCCCUCUAAAACUUAUAAAUUACAUAUAUGUCACUGCAAAAGUUAAAAUAUUAGGUACAUCCCUUCAAAUAUAAAUAUAAAAAUAUAUUAUGAUUAUCCCUACUGUUAAAACAUCAUUAAAUAGGAGUCAACUUAUGAAAUGACGAUCUUACCCUUAUGAUUUGGUGAUGCGGGGUACCUUAAUAUGUAUGAAGGCCCCUCAACUAUAGGCGAAUUUGAUAUUGAGCCCUUAACAUCUUUUCUUCUUUUUUUUGUCCUUUUUUUGUGGUUGACACUGUCUAAUAUUUUUUUUAAAAAUUCUGAAGUUGAAAAGUUUAUCAAAUUUAAUAAUCGUAUGAGUUACAAAUCGUCAAUUAGUCUAGUUUUAUUCACUGAAAAGUGAACAAUAUCAUUAAAUUUGAUAAAAUCACCAAGAAGUUUGAUAAAAUCUCUAAUUUUUUGGAUUAAAAUCACAUAAUUGCAAAAAGGUUAGAAAGAUAAGGAGGACUCAAUCAAAAGAAUAAAAGUUCAAAAAAAAUCAAAAGUUGAAGAUGUCUCAAUAAAAAAAGAAAUUCAGUUGAGGGCGCAUUUCAAAAUUGCGUAUUAGUUGUGGGGCUUCCUACAAUUUUAAAAGAUGUAUUUAAUGUGCCAUAUAAAUAGGGAUUAAAAUGGCAUGUAAUAACUAUGAUGGUCAUUUUUGACAAAAGGUUAUUAAGAGAGGUCUCAUGAAUAUUUUUUUUCAGGCGAUUGCUUUUAUAUUCCUAAAAAGUUUUUAAUUUUUUAUUUAUUUUUCUUAGAAAAUUAAUAUUAAAAAUAUUUUUUAAAAAUUUUUAAAUCUUUCAUAUAUAUACCUCUAGAGUUAAAUUCUAUUAGGUGAACUAUUAGUAACAACUGUUAUCUAUGUGAAAUUAUUUUUUUGCCCAUCAAAUAUACCCUUCUACCACCAACCAGCUUUUCUUAUUUGCCCUUAUGUUAGAGACAAAAUAGAUAUUUUAUUAUUUUUUAACUAUAGUAGAAAUUUAACUUAAAUUUAAUUCGAAAUAACUUAACAUGCACUAACAACAGGUGUAUUUUUGAAUAACAGAGAAACAUAUGAGAGAUAUAUUUAAAACAAAAAAAAUAUAGGGAUAAAUAAAUAAGAUAUUUUAGAGGUUUUGAGGGGUAUAUAAGCAAUCAUCCUUAUUUUUGUAUCUACAGAAGGCCAUUUAUGAUAUUCUGAACUUUAGAGGGGUAUUGACAAAAUACAAAAUUUUACUUCCAAUGUAAAAUUUUAUCUUACUAUUUUAUCAAAUAGACCGAAAAGUUUUAAAUAGUCGCUCAAUUUAGAAGUAAAAUUUUAUAAAACAUUCAAAUUCCAUAACCUUUACUCAUGUUUUCUUUCUGGUCCUCUUAAGUUUAUUUUUUAAGGGUAAACUUAAAAUACCACCCCUGUGGUUUUAUACGCUCUCACUUUAGCAUCAUGUGGUUUAAAAUAUACUUCAGAAACCCCACCUAGGUUUAUCAAAUAUUCACUUUAGUAUUUUUUAGUUUUAACUUUAUCACUAAUUUAAUUAAAAAAAAUUAGUGAAGAAAAUAAUAAAAAAAAAACCACGAACACUAAAUUAAUUAAUACACUUUAAAUCACAAUGUACUAAAAUAAAAGGGGCAAUUACUUACAUACUCUUCAAAAGUUCCCGACUUUCUGAUUUACUCCUCUUAGAAGGCUAAUAUUGAAAAUACCCCUCCUACGUUCCAACCUAUUUCUAAUAUACCCUUAGAGUUAAAAUCUGUUAAUAACUCUGUUAUCUCUAUAAAAUUACUAUUUUGUCUUUUCAAAUAUACCCUUCCACCAUCACUGUCUUUCUUAUUUGCCCUUAAAGUCAAGGGCACAAAAAUAUAUUUGAACUUUUGGUCUUACAAAAAGUAUUUUAACUUUUGGUCUUUUCCAAUAUAUCCCUCUACCGUCACCAAUCUUUUUUAUUUGCCCAAUCUUUCUUAUUUGCCCUUAAGUUAAGGACAAAAUUGGCAUUUUAUUUUUUUUUAACUGUGGUAGAUAUUUAACUCACGUUUAAUCCAGAUUAACUUAACAGGAGAUAACUGCAGGGAUAUUUUGCAAUAACGGUGAAACAUAUGAGGAGUAUUUUAAAAAGAAAAAAAAAAGGGAUAAAUGAAAUAUUUACAUACAAGAAAUAUAUAGGCAAUUAUCCCACAGAAUUAAUAUUUGCAGUUUUUUUUAAAAAUUUCUUUUUUACGUCUGGAUACUUAACCUUCGUAUUCAUUAUUCUACUGCAGCUGCAUCCCAAACAUUCCAAUUUUUGCUAAUUUUGAUAAAAUAAGCAAUAUCAAUUCCAAUAAAACCCGGUUUGAUAAAAUAGGCUCACAUCAACUCCAAUAAAACCCAGCUUGGUGUCAGGUCUUAGCAUUUUUGUUCACAAAAUCCGU